CGGCCGGUGUGCGUCUCUUCUCGGAGGGCUUUCCUCUCCCGCUGUUCUGCUCAGGGUGUCCUUGAGGCGCGUGGGGCAGCCUGGCGACACCUCGCUCUCACUCUUCCACGGAAGAAAUCGAGCGAGCGCCCGGAGGCGGGAGAGGAGGCCUGUCCGACCACCCGGUGGGACCACCCGCUGUCAGUGGACCCCCCCCCCACCCCCACCCCGUCCCGCCCCGACUUUAGGCUUGCGGUGUGGGAAGCUCGGGGAGUCCGGCCCCAUCACCCACCUGCCGGAUGACCUUCUGCGAAGCCAGCCACAGCCCCGUCCACCGCGAUGGUGGCGGGCCCCUCCCCGCUGGCUGGUGGCAAUUCCGUGGACUCGUGCCCGGGAAACACCAGGCGCGUCCUUAAGCGGUGUGGGGCCCGAAAGAUGAGCCGGAGCCAGUUUCCUGAGCGUCGGGGCUCGCAGAGGCGGGAGCUAGGAGCUACCUGUGAAGGUGCAGGCUGCAGAACGGGAGAAAGCCUCCCUCCCUCCCCGCGGCCCCAGAGUAAUCUGAAAAGAGCAUGAGGGCUUUCAGAUGUUGGGUCACCUGAAUUCAAGUUCGAGAACCAGACUUCCAAGCCAGGGGAACAGCAUGUGUUCAGAUUACUUGCUCUGGGUGAAGCCAGCAACCAUGUUCUAAGACUGCUCAGGCAACCUGCCAGCAAGUGAGCUUGGAAGUGGUUCCUCCUCCAGUCGAUCCUGCAGACGUUUGAGAGAUCCUGAGCCAGAACCAUCUAGCUAUGCUGCUUCCAGAUUUCUGACCCACACACAAAAACUGUGGGAUACUAAAUGUUUUUUUAAGCCACUAAAUUGGGGGUAAUUUAUUAUCCAAAAAUAGAUAACUAGUAGAAAUGUGUAGUCCUCCCAUCUUCAGACCCAUCAGCUGUGUUGAUACAGAAGUCCUGUUGGGACCUAGCACCGUAAACAGGUCCCACCAUGAACUCUAUCUUCCUCUUAAACCUGCUUCUCGUGUGUUUUCUGUCUCAGUUUGUGGCAUCAUGAACUCACAAGCCAGCAUAUGGGAAUCCUCCUUAAUUCUUUUCUCCUCAUUCCCCAAAUAUGGUCGAUAACAAAGUCUUGUUGUUUAUUUCUUCUAAGUAUUUCUUGCAUUCAUCCAAUCCUUUUUUAUCCCUUCCAACUUGUGAUGCAAGCUCUCGUUACUUUUUUUCCUAGACUACUGUACCAGCCUCCUAGGUUGUCUUCCUAACUCCACUUUUGCAUCUUGUAGUCCAUUCUCCACCCUUCAGAGGGAGUGAUCUUUGUAAAGUGGAGGUGUGAUCCUGUCAAACCUGAUUGUGCUUAACCAACUUCCUUGUAAUAUCAUUGUCAUUAGGAUGAGGUACAGGUUUCUUAAUUUUCCUUUUACAUAUCUAAGUGGGCAUUUCUUGUCUGGUGUCCUAUCUGGUUUAGCAUGUGUCCUAGAAAAAAAGUAUCCCAGUUUGAAAAAUAAAUUCUAUGGUCAUUCUCAACAUAUUAAGCACUCUUCACCUGCUCUCUCCCUUAUUACCUCCUUGACUUCAUACACUGCCACUCACCCCUUCGGUCUUUAGAUCUUGGUUUCAACUCUGCAGUUUCUAGUGCUCUUCAUACCUUCCAACAUUCUGUAACUUCCUUCUGGAGCACUACUGCCUUCAAAGUUGUUCUACCAUCAUUGGGUCUCCCCUGCUUGAGGGUAAGCUCUGAGAGGUCAGGGGAUAGCCAAUUAAUGGUAGGAAAACUACAAAUGAUAUCUUCACCAUUGUUUUGUUAGCACCUAGCCCAUAUAUGACAUAAUUGGUAUUCAUUUGAAGGGUGAAUAAUGCAUUAUAAUGGCCUGAGAUGGGGCUUAGUUUGACAAGAAUGGGAAACUAUUGUGAUUUUCUAGGUAUUGAGGUCUAAUAUCAUGAUAGCAGGGAGGACAAAAUAUAAGACUUGAACAAGGAUUGGAUAAACAAGGGAGGGAAUUCAGAUUACUUCCAAAUUCUGAAUAACUGGGCAAAUUGGUGGAUUUGUUAAUAGAGCUUGGGAAGGCAGGAGGAUCAGUAGAUUUGGAAAGAAAAAUAUGAUAUUCUUUUUCAAUAUUGAGUUUGAAGUUCCAGGGGUACAUCUCUGUGGAUCGGAACGUGGAGGAGAAGGUUCCUGAACCAAAGUAGGAAAUGUGAAAGUCAUGGAAGUGAGGGUUAAAACUGUGGAGAGACUUCCCUGUCAGUCCAGUGGUUAAGCCUCUGCGCUUCCACUUGCAGGGGGCACAGGUUCGAUCUCUGGUUGGGGAACUGUGAGGGUGAGUCAAAAAUUAUCCUCACUCUGGCUGUAGAAUUUAUUUUAACUUUUAGAAAAGACAAAUACAUCAUUUUUCAACAUAAUCUCCUUGCUUUUCAAUACACUGUGUCCAUCUGUCAACAAGCUUUCAUAUUCCCUCAUUAAAAAAUGUUUUAGGCUGAGCUGCAAGCCACAAAUGCAUUGCUGUCUCCACUUCUUCACCAAACAGGUGAAAGUCCGAUGGAGCAAGAUCAGGACUAUAGGGAGGAUGAUUUAACACCUCAAAACGAAGUUUUCGCAGAGUGUUGACAGUAUGCGUAGAAAUAUGCGAAUGUGCACACCUUCAGACCACAAAAAACAAAUCACUGCACACUGCUCUUUCCUGCAAAUCACAAGUGGGACAUCCAUUUUCGCUCACACCGCAGUUACAAAUGAACUGACUGGGGAGACAGUAGCCUUGAAUGGAAAGUGCUGAUAAGGCAGUGCAGCCAACAGAAGUUUUAAUAUAACUGGAGUGAGGAUAAUUUUUGACUCAACGUUUGUAAGAUCCCACAUGCCAUGUGGUGCAGCCGAAAUCCAAAAAAGAAGAAGGAAAAAAAUUUGUGGAAAUAGAUGAGAUUGCAAAAAGGAGAAGCAUAAAGUCAGAAUAGGGCUAUGGAGAAACCCUCAGUUAGGGGACAGGAGGAAAAAGAGCCUAUGAAAGAGAGAAGUAGUUGAAGAUGUAAAAUAAAACUAAGAGGGUGUCUAGGAAUGGAGAAGUGAGGAUGUGUUAAUACCGUCAAAUACCGAGGAACUUCUAAAAGACCAUUUGUUGAGCAGUUAGGUCAUGGUGACCUUACAGAAAGCAAUUUCAGUGAAAGGAUUAUGAGGAAUGUGAGUGAGAGGAAAAAUGCAACAUUUAAACUUUUCCCAUUAGGGCGAAUGAAGUGAACAUAUUUUUGUGUUCCAGGUAAUUCUUUAGAUUGCCAAUUCUCUUUACUAUCCACAGUAAUGUAUAUAAUACCACCUGCUCAUCUCUCUUUAUGGCAUUUAUUGAAUUACUUGUUAGCAUUUUUGAUUUCUCCAAAGAUUGAACGUCUGUGGCCUUAUCCUAUUCACUUUCACUCCAUAGGGCCCAACUCGUGUGUAGGUGCUUACCACCAGUGAGCUUACAAGUUAGAGCAAAAUAAGGCAUACGAGGCAGGAAGUGGUAAAUGCUGUAAGUGGUAUAAGAUGCCACAUGAACUCAGAUUACUUAAAAACUGAAAAAAAGAAUAGCAGUAGUAAGAAGCGUUCUUAAAGUUAGUGUUUUACCCUACUGUGACAAUGACUGUUGCUUAGUUUGUUUCCUCUAGGUACUAGGCACUAGAUUGAGUUAUUUGAGGACCCAAACUACGGUUUAGUUAUCUUGGUGCACACAGAGUCUGCCUGGCACAUGGUGAGCAGAUGCUGAAUCUGUGAAUCCCUUCCUGCCUUCUUAAGACUUUAUGCUUAAUGGUCCUGCUAUUCCGUUAUCUUCAUUUUCCCCUUCUCUAGUGGCUGUCUUUGCUUCAUGUGUGUUCUUAAGAGAUAGUGUCAUGCUACUUCUCCUUUUUUCCUGCUACCUUUUUUUUUUGUCCUUUUGUAGUCAAGUGCUUUAAAGUGCUUUCAGCUUUCUCCUAACUCCUUGGUUUCAAUCACACUAUUCCUCAAUUAGGGGAAAGUCACCAGUGACCCUUUUUUUUUUUUUUUUUAACCAGUGACCUUUUAAUUCAAAUAAUUUUUUAAAAAAACCUAGUUCUUCUUUAUCUGUUGUAUUUGAAACCAUUCUCAUGUUCAGUGAAAUUUGUCCAGGAAUUUUAUCCCUUCCUAAAUAUCCAUACCUGCUAUUUAUUAAGACCUGAGUAAGCCAUUAGUGAGCACUAGUUUUAAAUCUGAAAUGUACUCUAUUUCUGUGUAAAUAUGGUUGCCACAAUAUGUUACUUAACUUUGGGAUUUAUGCUGGAAAAUAUUUUACUCCACCAGUUCAUCUUUUAUUUUUAUUUCUUGGCCACACCGUAAGGCAUGUGGGAUCUUAGUUCCCCAACCAGGGAUCGAACCCAUGCCCCCUGCAGUGGAAGCAUGGAUUCUUAACCACUGGACUGCCAGGGAAGUCCCCAAAUCAGUCCUUUAAAACAAGCUGAAAAACUGAUCCAUGUUAUUUUAUUAAAUUUCACUCAGUACUUUGAGGAUAAAUAUUUCAUUCAUAAAUAAUUUAAAAUUUUCUUAAACUGCUGUCAGUUUUACUUUUUAAAACUUUUCGAACUCAAGAUACUAUUGAGCACACACAAGAUUAAUACUAUGUAGCUCUCUAUCCAGACUCCACGUAUUACAUUAUUUAUGCCUAUCUAUUGUUUACCCACUAAAAAUAAUGAAUUUUUAAAAAAUUAAUUUAUUUUUUGGCCGUGUUGGGUCUUUGUUGCUGAGCAUGGGCUUUCUAUAGUUGUGGUGAGUAGGGGCAAUUCUUUGUUGCGGUGCGCGGGCUUCUCGUGGCUUCUCUUGUGGAGCACAGGCUCUAGGUGCAAGGGCUUCAGUAGUUGUGGCACACGGGCUUAGUUGCUCCACGGCAUGUGGGAUCUUCCCGGACCAGGGAUUGAACCCAUGUCUCCUGCAUUGGCAGGCAGAUUCUUAACCACUGCACCACCAGGCAAGUCCCCAAAUAAUGAAUUUUUAAAUGAAUUAAAUAUGGUAAUUGCUAGCCAAAAUGAACAUAGUAUUGUACGUGUAAAGGAAUAUUAUAGGUUGUCUUAAUAGUGGAGAUUGAGUUAAAGGGAAAACUAAAUGUAGUAUGUAUCCUGAACCAUGUAUGAGUUACUUUUUAAAAAUUAAUACAUGUUAACAUCUGGGAAGAAAAGUGAUUAGCAUGUACAUUUCUAAUGAAACAAUUAUUAAGUUUUGUGGUAUAAUUUCUUUUUAUAGUAAACAUACAUUGAGUAACAGACAUUCAACAUUUUGAGUGCUCAGGUCUCACUGCAUACUAUUAAGUUGUUUCUCUGAAGGUAUUGAAAGAGGUUUCUCUUUAAACUUGAAAUUUUUUUAGUAGUUGCAAAAUCUGCCUGCUUAACAAAAUGGCAUUAACUAUAUGCAAAGUAGUAUAUAAUCUUAUAAAGGAUUUAAUAAAUCAUAAUGCAACUACCUGCAAAGAAUGUAUGAAGAUGUUGCUAGAUGGUAAACAAAGUUUAAGAAACAGAAAACUUAAUAGUGGAGCUCAAAAUCUAGUUACUUGAAAAUAAAUAUUUGCUAGAAUCAACUAGUAAAUCUAGACAGCCCUGCAAAAUUAGAAUAAUUACAAAUGGCAAAACAAAAAACAAACCAUAUAAUUAAUUAUCCAUGUCUGGAUUAUCUAAAAGCAAUUUAAAAAAUCUUAUGUGAGUGUCCUCAAGAUACUCAUCCUGGUAUUGAAAUCUGCUAGGAGAUAUUAACACUAGACAUAAUGGAAUCAAGAGGUCAAACAAUAUUGUGCCAAUACAGAAUGUGACAUUUUAAGGAAGGUAGGAAGAACAUGGUCUUUUUGGUCAGAAAGAUCUGAGUCUGAAUCCCAAUUCAGUGAUAAACUAGUUAUCUUUGGACAUGUUAGCUAAUCUCCCAAGCCUCAAUUUCUUUAUCUGUAAAAUGAAGCUAGUUCUCCACUGGAAUUAAGAGAUUAAAUGAGAUAACAUAUAUAUUUCUACAUGGUAUCUGGCACAUAUGUAAUAGCACAGGGAUAGCCCUUUGCUGAAAAUAAUCAUUAAAUGGAUUGGAAAGUGAAAUGUGCAUCUUAGGGUCUGAAAGAGGGGAGGCCAUGAACCUAAACUCAAGUGGGGAAAAAGAGGCUAGUAGGUGAAGAAAUUAUUAGGUUCUGAUUUAAAAAAAAAAAAAUUGGGGAGGGCCCUAGGGAAGGAGAGGCAAGAGAACAGAUCACCAGAGAGGAGAGAAGAAAAUGAAAGGUUUUCAGUAGAGAAACUUUAUCAGCCUGUUUGCUGUUCCUCUUUAGCUAUCUUCUUGUACCUGUAUAGCUGUGUGGGUACCUCAAGCUCCUCAUAUUGCUCUGUCUCAUGAUGGACACCAACCUUUCCUUGUACACCAUUUAGGUAGACUGCUUUUUAAUCCAGUCAGCCUCAGUUUAGAGGAAUUAUAUUCCCUGAGAAAUCUUAUUAAGGCUAUUUUUAUUUAUUUAUUUAUUUAUUUGGCUGUACUGGGUCUUAGUUGCGGCAAGCGGGAUCUUCAGUUGUGGCACCUGGGAUCUAGUUCCCUACCCAGGGAUCAACCGGGGCCCCUUGCAUUGGGCACAGUCUUAGCCACUGGACCACCAGUGAAGUCCCAUUAAGCCUAUUUCUAGAAAUGACUUCUAGGCUUUAAAAAACAAACAAAAAAAGCACAACAGAUUUUCAGUACCGUUGAUCAUCUUUCAUUAUUGAAGAUAAGCAGCUGACAACUUCUUAGAGGACUGUUCUUUUAACCAUACCAGUAUGUAACUGGUGAAUGUUACUGACAGUUCAAAGUGCAUCUUUACUCAAAUUAGGAAGCUUUUCAAUAGCUACAGAAAGUAUUAUGCUAGGUCAUCAAUAAGGGAUCAAUAAAAGAACUUCUAAAAGUUAUUCAUACAUGUAAUUUAAUAAAAUAAAUCUACCAGAAAAAAAAAAACCCAAGGACUUCGCCCUGAGGUUUAAAAGUUAGUCAGUAGAGGUACAAGUCAGGUGACUUUGCCUCUAGCAACAUGCAAGUGUGACAGGGACAGUGAAGUUUUAUAAUUGACAGGGCACAUCAAAGGGGACUGAGUGAAGGACUGACAGGGAGAUGGGAAGGGAGCUCACGUUAUUUCACCACCUUUGGGGAGACUAAGUCUAUUUCUGUGUGGUAGCAGAUUUAUAAAAGGAGAUUAAGGGAGAAGAGGUAAAGCUUUUCUCUUUGGGUACUCAUUUGCAUUUCUAAUGAUAAUUCAAACAAGGCUGUUUGUGUUUGCAACCAACAUGAGAAAGAACCCUGAUUGGAAAACAAAAUUAAAUCUUUCAAGGACAAAAAAAAAAAAAGGGAUAUUCUUCAAAUAUUACUCAGCAGUAAAGAGAAUAAACUACUGAUAAGACAUGUGGGUUAAUCUCCAAAACAUGCUCGAGAAAAGACAGCUGGGUGUAUAAUGUGCCAUUUAUGUGGAGCUCAAAAACAGGCAAAACUGGGACUUCCCCAGCAGUCCAGUGGUUAAGACUGUGCUUCCACUGCAGGGGGUGAGGGUUUGAUCCCUGGUGAGGGAACUAAGAUCCUAUAUGCCACAUGGCGCAGCCAAAAAAUAAAAAUUAAAACAACAAAAACAGGCAAAACUAAUCUAUGGCAGAACAGUGAUUGUCUUGGCAGGAGGAAGGGAUGGACUGGAAAGAGGCAGAGAGAAACUUUCUGUAGUGAUGAAAAUGUUCCGUAUGUUAAUGGGGAUGUUUACGUAGUUGUAUGCACUUGACAAACUCAUUGUAAACUUGAGAUCUGUGCAUUUCACCGUAUGCAAGUCUUCUCUUAAUAAAAAAAAUGCUCUCCUUUGUGUACACUUUCUGUCUGCUGGAACUUCUUUACAAAUAAUAAUUACUCCUAAGAAUCUAAUUCUUUCAAAAUUUCUUUCUUAUCCUAAAACUUAGUGUAUUUGCCAGGGAAAUAGCAAAGAUGGUGAUGGA